GACAACAAGCUCAGCAAUCAAGGAAGGAAGCUGGUGGGAGCAAACAACAAGCUCUCAUUUCUUCUAGUCUAGAAGAACUUCCGGAGAUUAGAGCAUAAGGUUGCCUUCACAGUUCCCUGAUGUGGCGGAAACGUGAUCAGGGAUAGUCUCGCCUCCUGAAUGGAUGAUCAGAGAUAGUCUUGCUUCUCGAGCAUAUUAAGUGCUCACUGAUAAGAAAAACAAGUAGAUAUCGC
rnacentral:lncRNA from 1 species